GGCUGGUUAGCAGUCAGAUGCGUUCCGAUAGAUUUGAAUUGAAAUGCAAACGCAUAGUGCUUAACUCUUGGUUUAUUUUCUAAUGAUUUCAAACUAGACCUGCACACAGUUCUGGAUUUCAGACAUACCCUUGUUAAGCGGAAAAGUCACAGUGUGAGGUGUAUGUGGGCAACAUCCCCUUCAGUGUCAGGAAGCAAGAGAUUGCAGAUCUGUUCAAAGCAUUUAAUCCACUCAGUAUUCAAAUAGUGCAUUCAGAAGAGAAGUGCCUUUGCUUUUAAGCUUCGCCUUUGUGGAUUUUGCCAACCAAAAGAACGCACAGCAGGCUAUCAGUCGGCUGAACGGCAGUGUGUACGAGGGCCAUCGAAUCAUUGUCAGGUCUGCCUAUACGUCCAGAGUGAGUUCCCAUGAAUGCUCCACCUUUGAAACAAAGGUUAAAUAAUUAAGAGUGAAAGAAGAGUCAAACGGUUGCAGUGCCUGUUCUUGCAAAGAAGCUAUAGGAGGUAGGAGACUGUUUGCACGCCACGGUGUUGAGAUGGUUUCCGAUCAGGAAGAUGAGAAUCAAUUUGGCUUGAAGAUGGCCGUGAAGAAAGAGAAACUGGAAGAAAAGAAAAUGCUGCUGGAGAUAAAGAAGUUAGAAAUUGAAAUCCAGAAACUGCAAUUAGAAAUCAGAAAGCUAUGAGCUAAAUUAAAUCAAAAUGAUAGAGCUGAUAGAGCUGCUACUGGAUAGAGCUGCUGAUAGACCUGGGUAGGCAAUUCUUUUCUAGUAAUGGGCAAAAUAUGAAAAGUGCAUUUGUGAAAUUUCUUUAUUGAAAUCUUUAAUUUUCUAAAAUGAGUGUGUUGUUCUCUCUAGUUCAGCAGCUGUAGCAUUGUGGGGAUGAUCUAUACCACGAGGCAAGCAUGAUAACUGGGAUCUCUUCCCUGAAGAAUAUUUUAAAUUUGAGUUCCUUUCCAGUUUUUUUUUUUUUUUUUGCAUAGAGCAAAAAAGUCUGCUGGGCUAGGAGUACAGCGGCUGUUUUUGUUUAUUUAAUUUGAAUUGGUAGCAAACUGUUGUCUUUAACAGUUUGUGUUUGAACUGAAUGCUUCUUUUUUUAUAGAAUACAUGUAUAAAGUUACCAUUGUAAUAUAGUUGACCACUAGGUUAUAAAAAAGGAGAUUUUUCUCAUUCUGCAAGAUCCUGCACCAUAAUACAGAUUUGUUCUAGUUUGAAUGUAUUGCAGUUGAUUCUUAUAGUUUAGCUUUACUUGUAAAAACUCCAAUGACGUAAACUUUUGUGACAAACUAUUUCUUUAAAAAUGAUUUACAAUAUGGUCAAUUUGAUGUGGUCAUAUGGGUAUCACUUUACUUUGACAAGGGCAUGUUUAAAUAAUGUGCUGUAUUUCUAAGUUUUAAUAAAAUACACAGAUCAGUGUUCUAUCUGACACAGUGUGUUUAAUUUAACUUUAUUAGUAUAUUAAGAGUUAAAUAAUGCAGCUUCACCUCUAAGUAAACAGUGCUUUCUUUUUUAUUAUCUUUUCACAGAUCAGUAGUUGUGUGGGUGUUUAUUUUUUUAACUUUUAGGCAUAAUGUUUAUGUUCUGUCUGGUAAUUUUUUCAAGCUGUGUUGUCAUUUUGUU